CACGUAGGGGGCGAGCGUUGUCCGGAUUUAUUGGGCGUAAAGAGCUCGUAGGCGGCUCAGUAAGUCAGGUGUGAAAACUCCAGGCUCAACCUGGAGACGCCACCUGAUACUGCUGUGGCUAGAGUCCGGUAGGGGAGCAUGGAAUUCCUGGUGUAGCGGUGAAAUGCGCAGAUAUCAGGAGGAACACCAGUGGCGAAGGCGGUGCUCUGGGCCGGUACUGACGCUGAGGAGCGAAAGCGUGGGGAGCAAACAGG
rnacentral:rRNA from 1 species